rnacentral:rRNA from 1 species
GAUCAUGGCUCAGGAUGAACGCUAGCGACAGGCUUAACACAUGCAAGUCGAGGGGCAGCACGGAGUAGCAAUACAACUGGUGGCGACCGGCGCACGGGUGAGUAACGCGUAUGCAACCUACCUAUCAGAGGGGAAUAACCGGCGAAAGUCGGACUAAUACCGCAGUAAAACAGGGGCACCGCAUGGUGAUAUUUGUUAAAGAAAUUCGCUGAUAGAUGGGCAUGCGUUCCAUUAGGUAGUUGGUGAGGUAACGGCUCACCAAGCCGACGAUGGAUAGGGGAACUGAGAGGUUGGUCCCCCACACUGGUACUGAGACACGGACCAGACUCCUACGGGAGGCAGCAGUGAGGAAUAUUGGUCAAUGGGCGGGAGCCUGAACCAGCCAAGUCGCCGUGAAGGAAGAAGGAUCUAUGGUUCGUAAACUUCUUUUGCAGGGGAAUAAAGUGCAGGACGUGUCCUGUUUUGUAUGUACCCUGAGAAUAAGGAUCGGCUAACUCCGUGCCAGCAGCCGC